ensembl:lncRNA
CGAGAAUGGACGAUGAGAGACUGGUCGUCGAGGUGGAAAAAUAUGUCGAAUUGUAUGACCAAUGUUCCCGUCAUUACAAAGACAACUCCAAAAAGGACAAUGCCUGGCGAGCCAUAGCUCUGGAGAUUGGCUCUUCAGCUUCCAGGAAAAAGGAACUGGACGACGAGGCCUUGGUGGACAUGGUGGUGAAGCAUUACCAGCCUUUUACUGUGCUCAACGACCAGGGAAUCAGGGGGCUGGUACAAUUACUUGACCCUUCAUAUGUUCUGCCCACCAGACAGGCUUUAAAGGCCAUGGUGGAGGAACGCUACCACCAAGGCAAAAGGGAGGCCAAGGCCCUUGUUCAGCAGGCUACUGCAGUCAGCCUAACUUCAGAUAUGUGGACAUCCAUGAAUAUGGAGGCCUACCUUGCAGUCAACUGCCACUUUAUUGCAGAUGGUGUGCUGAAUACCACACUGCUUGGGGUUCAGCAUUUCCCACAGAGCCAUACACAGCCCAUAACCUGGCUGAAGCUAAGGGUGCCAUUAUGGAGGAGUGGGGCAUCAGGCACAAGGUGACUUGUCUUCUAACUGAUGCAGCUUCCAACAUGCUUGCAUGUGGCAGGGAGCUGCAUUUGAAACAAGCCAUCUGCAUAGCUCAUGCCAUCAACCUGAUGGCAAAGAAAUCCUUGGAUGACACCCCUGGACUUGAGCAGCUGCGUACAAGUGCCAGAA